UGCCGAUGAUGCAUAAAAAAAAUGCACGUACUGUCGGAUUGUUCCAUGACGAUCUGCAAAAAUUGUCACUACCACUGAGGCG